rnacentral:rRNA from 1 species
GGGUUGUGAGGUUAAGCGACUAAGCGUACACGGUGGAUGCCCUGGCAGUCAGAGGCGAUGAAGGACGUGCUAAUCUGCGAUAAGCGUCGGUAAGGUGAUAUGAACCGUUAUAACCGGCGAUUUCCGAAUGGGGAAACCCAGUGUGUUUCGACACACUAUCAUUAACUGAAUCCAUAGGUUAAUGAGGCGAACCGGGGGAACUGAAACAUCUAAGUACCCCGAGGAAAAGAAAUCAACCGAGAUUCCCCCAGUAGCGGCGAGCGAACGGGGAGCAGCCCAGAGCCUGAAUCAGUGUGUGUGUUAGUGGAAGCGUCUGGAAAGGCGCGCGAUACAGGGUGACAGCCCCGUACACAAAAAUGCACAUACUGUGAGCUCGAUGAGUAGGGCGGGACACGUGGUAUCCUGUCUGAAUAUGGGGGGACCAUCCUCCAAGGCUAAAUACUCCUGACUGACCGAUAGUGAACCAGUACCGUGAGGGAAAGGCGAAAAGAACCCCGGCGAGGGGAGUGAAAAAGAACCUGAAACCGUGUACGUACAAGCAGUGGGAGCCUCUUUAUGGGGUGACUGCGUACCUUUUGUAUAAUGGGUCAGCGACUUAUAUUCUGUAGCAAGGUUAACCGAAUAGGGGAGCCGAAGGGAAACCGAGUCUUAACUGGGCGUUAAGUUGCAGGGUAUAGACCCGAAACCCGGUGAUCUAGCCAUGGGCAGGUUGAAGGUUGGGUAACACUAACUGGAGGACCGAACCGACUAAUGUUGAAAAAUUAGCGGAUGACUUGUGGCUGGGGGUGAAAGGCCAAUCAAACCGGGAGAUAGCUGGUUCUCCCCGAAAGCUAUUUAGGUAGCGCCUCGUGAAUUCAUCUCCGGGGGUAGAGCACUGUUUCGGCAAGGGGGUCAUCCCGACUUACCAACCCGAUGCAAACUGCGAAUACCGGAGAAUGUUAUCACGGGAGACACACGGCGGGUGCUAACGUCCGUCGUGAAGAGGGAAACAACCCAGACCGCCAGCUAAGGUCCCAAAGUCAUGGUUAAGUGGGAAACGAUGUGGGAAGGCCCAGACAGCCAGGAUGUUGGCUUAGAAGCAGCCAUCAUUUAAAGAAAGCGUAAUAGCUCACUGGUCGAGUCGGCCUGCGCGGAAGAUGUAACGGGGCUAAACCAUGCACCGAAGCUGCGGCAGCGACGCUUAUGCGUUGUUGGGUAGGGGAGCGUUCUGUAAGCCUGUGAAGGUGUGCUGUGAGGCAUGCUGGAGGUAUCAGAAGUGCGAAUGCUGACAUAAGUAACGAUAAAGCGGGUGAAAAGCCCGCUCGCCGGAAGACCAAGGGUUCCUGUCCAACGUUAAUCGGGGCAGGGUGAGUCGACCCCUAAGGCGAGGCCGAAAGGCGUAGUCGAUGGGAAACAGGUUAAUAUUCCUGUACUUGGUGUUACUGCGAAGGGGGGACGGAGAAGGCUAUGUUGGCCGGGCGACGGUUGUCCCGGUUUAAGCGUGUAGGCUGGUUUUCCAGGCAAAUCCGGAAAAUCAAGGCUGAGGCGUGAUGACGAGGCACUACGGUGCUGAAGCAACAAAUGCCCUGCUUCCAGGAAAAGCCUCUAAGCAUCAGGUAACAUCAAAUCGUACCCCAAACCGACACAGGUGGUCAGGUAGAGAAUACCAAGGCGCUUGAGAGAACUCGGGUGAAGGAACUAGGCAAAAUGGUGCCGUAACUUCGGGAGAAGGCACGCUGAUAUGUAGGUGAAGUCCCUUGCGGAUGGAGCUGAAAUCAGUCGAAGAUACCAGCUGGCUGCAACUGUUUAUUAAAAACACAGCACUGUGCAAACACGAAAGUGGACGUAUACGGUGUGACGCCUGCCCGGUGCCGGAAGGUUAAUUGAUGGGGUUAGCGGUAACGCGAAGCUCUUGAUCGAAGCCCCGGUAAACGGCGGCCGUAACUAUAACGGUCCUAAGGUAGCGAAAUUCCUUGUCGGGUAAGUUCCGACCUGCACGAAUGGCGUAAUGAUGGCCAGGCUGUCUCCACCCGAGACUCAGUGAAAUUGAACUCGCUGUGAAGAUGCAGUGUACCCGCGGCAAGACGGAAAGACCCCGUGAACCUUUACUAUAGCUUGACACUGAACAUUGAGCCUUGAUGUGUAGGAUAGGUGGGAGGCUUUGAAGUGUGGACGCCAGUCUGCAUGGAGCCGACCUUGAAAUACCACCCUUUAAUGUUUGAUGUUCUAACGUUGGCCCCUGAUCGGGGUUGCGGACAGUGUCUGGUGGGUAGUUUGACUGGGGCGGUCUCCUCCUAAAGAGUAACGGAGGAGCACGAAGGUUGGCUAAUCCUGGUCGGACAUCAGGAGGUUAGUGCAAUGGCAUAAGCCAGCUUGACUGCGAGCGUGACGGCGCGAGCAGGUGCGAAAGCAGGUCAUAGUGAUCCGGUGGUUCUGAAUGGAAGGGCCAUCGCUCAACGGAUAAAAGGUACUCCGGGGAUAACAGGCUGAUACCGCCCAAGAGUUCAUAUCGACGGCGGUGUUUGGCACCUCGAUGUCGGCUCAUCACAUCCUGGGGCUGAAGUAGGUCCCAAGGGUAUGGCUGUUCGCCAUUUAAAGUGGUACGCGAGCUGGGUUUAGAACGUCGUGAGACAGUUCGGUCCCUAUCUGCCGUGGGCGCUGGAGAACUGAGGGGGGCUGCUCCUAGUACGAGAGGACCGGAGUGGACGCAUCACUGGUGUUCGGGUUGUCAUGCCAAUGGCACUGCCCGGUAGCUAAAUGCGGAAGAGAUAAGUGCUGAAAGCAUCUAAGCACGAAACUUGCCCCGAGAUGAGUUCUCCCUGACCCUUUAAGGGUCCUGAAGGAACGUUGAAGACGACGACGUUGAUAGGCCGGGUGUGUAAGCGCAGCGAUGCGUUGAGCUAACCGGUACUAAUGAACCGUGAGGCUUAACCUUACAACGCCGAAG